rnacentral:rRNA from 1 species
AUGGCUGAGUCAGUGGCCACCUUGGAAAGGUGUCCAAGAGGAACGGCCUCAAGCGCGGAAAAGGAACAACAGGAAGAACUGGGGAAGGCAGAAUCCACACCUGACUCGAGGUUCCGGGCAGCCGCCCGGAUCUCAGCACGCUCGGCGAUGGACGGAACCGAGGCAUCAGCCGGGCGGGCCGCAUCGAGGCGGGCGCUGCGGCGAGACACCGUCACCGGCAUCGAGGAGGAGCGGGGUCGCCUGGUGUACGCCACCGUCUGGGGAGGGAUCGCGGAGACCGGAGUGGUGAUGACCACGGCCACCACCGAAGCCGGGGAGGCAGGGGAAGUGGGGUGGGCGUCGGGGUCACCAGCGUGGGAAGCGGGGCGACGAGCACCAGGGUGUCACCAGACUCAUCCCCCACCGGCGGGAGCACCAGAGAGAGCUCUCCAAGGGGAGGGGUCCCACCGUCACCUCCCGUGA